rnacentral:lncRNA from 1 species
CUAAAUAGACCUCCAUCAAUCAUCAAUAUUAAUAAUAUCUGUCACUUGAGCCAAGGACUACCAGAGAGAAGGAUGGAAACAGUAUUGAGUCAAUUGUUGACUGUAGUCCCUUUAUAUCAUUGUAUUUUGACGCAAUGGUAGUGAAAUAAUAACAAAUCAAUCAAGAAAAUGACUCUCAUCAACAGCUGUCUCAAUUCUGUUUGCAGUUCUUAUUACUUAGCACUGCGUUACCUCACUAACACAAAAAUACCCUAUGUAUUCUUUUUGAUAAAUAAUUAAUCAAAGUAAUAAGUUGGUUCCCGGACUCUAUGGAGACAGUUUUGUAUCUAUAUUUUUUUCUGUAUCCAUAUAGUCCGUUAUCGGACUAUAUGGAGACAGCAGAUUAUUUAAAUAGAACAACUAGUUCGAACUCAUCGUCAUAUUAGCUUGCUAAAUUUAUGUAACAUGUCUGCCCUAUAUGAAGGGAGAGGGAGGGAGGUGAGGGAAGUGAGGAGUUGGAUCUGCAUCCAUCCAUCCUUACUGUUCCUAUGAAUAUUUAUUCACACGUCUUCUGAUACUCUAUUCAAGGGAUCUCGACUCUUGAACAAGUGUUUCAUUCAGUCGGUGGAUCUUGUAUCCUUUAAUGGAAGGAUCGUUGAUUGUGCAAGUGCCUCUUCAUUUCAAGAUCCUCUACGGAAUCAUCGUAUACUUCUUUAUUACUACUGAGUCUCUUUUGUCAUUGGAAAACAAGUGCAAGAUAAUUCUAGACUCGUAAAGAUAAUGUGCUUCUCUUUUUUCGAUAUUUUGGUCUACAAUGCAUAUUCUGUUCCGACAUUACAUAUAAAUAAUUAUUUAGAACUGGAGAGUUCUGCAAUAAGAAAUAGUUCCCGAAUGAAUUACCCAGUGAGGAACAAAGAGUUUAAUUUAUCAUCCACAGCUCCUUCGUUGAAACUCUUGAAUCCUGUUCCUUCCAAAGUGGACUUUUUUUCGUAUCUUAUUCUGAGAAAAAUAUUUCAUUGUUAAGAAUCCUUCAGUUUCCUUGAUGUAUAUAAUGCAAAAAUCCCUUGGAAAAAAGUAGAAGUCAAUCUAAGACUCUCAAUGAUAAUGCACCCUUUUUUCUCGAUACUUUUGUCUACAAUACAUAUUAUAUUUUACUACUAUCUGUAUAAAUAGACUUUGUGAAUUGUUGAGUCCUAAGUGAUAAAAAAAUUUAAGUGACUUCUUAACUUCUUUAGACUUGCAAUUAGAAACUUAAUUAGUCUUAAUCAUCUUCAGAAAACAACUUAAUUGCUUAUUGCAAUAUUACCCCCAUGAAGAUUUAGAUCUCCACACUAAUAAAAAUUAUUAAUCAAUGUUUCCCAUAACAGUUCUUAUAUUUAAUUAUUAUUUAUGACAUUAAUACAGAUAAUAUAAUAAUCAUUAAUACAGACGUUCAAAAUUAAAAGCUAACUAUUUAUAUUUCAUCCUGCUUUUCUUUGAUUUAUAAUUAUAUUAGUAUGAAAAUGUAUUAUUGUUUUAAGAUCUGAAUAAAACAAUUUUUUUAGA